rnacentral:misc_RNA from 1 species
AAAUUUUUGGGCGAGGCCCUAACCAUGGAGUCGAUUUUGAGAAACUCUAGCCGUUUCAAGAAGGCUAAGGUUUCGGCUGCUCAAUCUCAAGAUGAAGAAAGUCAGCAUGUCGAUGUUGUCCCUGAUAGUCUAGCAGACACUCAGAAUGAGUAACUCCUCCCUUCUCUUUUGUUGCUAUUGAAAUGACCCAAUAUUUGGUACACAAUCACCUGUCCAUUUUCUG